GACGAACGCUGGCGGCGUGCUUAACACAUGCAAGUCGAACGGAGUGGCGAACGGGUGAGUAACACGUGGGUGACCUGCCCUGCACUUCGGGAUAAGCCUGGGAAACUGGGUCUAAUACCGGAUAGUGUGGGAUGGGCCCGCGGCCUAUCAGCUUGUUGGUGGGGUAAUGGCCUACCAAGGCGGCGACGGGUAGCCGGCCUGAGAGGGUGGACGGCCACAUUAGGACUGAGAGACGGCGCAGACGGGUACGGGAGGCAGCGGGGGGGAGUAUUGCACAAUGGGCGGAAGCCUGAUGCAGCGACGCCGCGGGGGGGAUGACGGCCUUCGGGUUGUAAACGCCUUUAACCAUCGACGCGGUAGAUGGAGAAGAAGCACCGGCUAACUACGUGCCAGCAGCCGCGGUAAUUC
rnacentral:rRNA from 1 species